CUUGAAUCUGGGCACAGGGAACACCUGAGUUCUAACACUCGAGAGGCCAGUCAUUCCUCCAAAGGCGCUGAACUGGGACUCACAGGCUGUGCCUCAGACUCCAGUAAAUGGAACAGCCGUUGCUCUUACCUUGAAAUCUUCCAUGCUGACCUCUGGAAAGAGAUUAAGCCCUUGAGAACAGCAAAUGGGGAUGACUGGCUCCUUCCACCGGAAAGCGUGCUUCCUGAAGAGGCCUGUGUGAAACAAGCUCUCCCAAGUGGGGUGCUGCCAUGGAACCAAGUUUUAUGGGAGCCGAAAGAAGUACUCUGGCCUGGAGCUUCAGGAAGGAUAAGUCCGAGCAAAGUAGAGGAGGCAAAGGCUUUCCAGGCAGAGGGAAAGCAAGCACAAUGGCUAAGAGGCGGAGCAAGUAAGAAAAGUUCAGCGCAAUAUGGCUCAAGCUCAGCCCAGUACAGCUCAAGUGCGAAAAUCAGGGAGAAGGAUUCAAGUUGAAGCCGGAGAGGUGAGUGGAGCACCAUUCUGGAGGAGCCAGACCCACUGGCCAUCCAUUCUGUCUGAAGGACAACAGCAGCCAAGCAUUGUAAGCAGGGAUUGACC
rnacentral:lncRNA from 1 species